AACGAACGCUGGCGGCGUGCCUAACACAUGCAAGUCGAACGAGAAAGGGGCUUCGGCUCCGAGUAAAGUGGCGCACGGGUGAGUAACACGUGGGUAACCUGCCUCUAAGAUUGGGAUAACUCGUCGAAAGAUGAGCUAAUACCGAAUAAGACCACAGUUCCCGCGGGAACAGGGGUCAAAGGUAGCCUCUGCUUGCAAGCUAUCACUUAGAGAUGGGCCUGCGCACCAUUAGCUAGUUGGUAGGGUAACGGCCUACCAAGGCAAAGAUGGUUAGCUGGUCUGAGAGGAUGAUCAGCCACACUGGAACUGAGACACGGUCCAGCCUCCUACGGGAGGCAGCAGUGGGGAAUAUUGCGCAAUGGGCGAAAGCUUGACGCAGCAACGCCGCGUGAGUGAUGAAGGCCUUCGGGUCGUAAAGCUCUGUCGGGAGGAACGAAUGCUCCUGAGGUUAACAGCCUCGGGAGGUGACGGUACCUUCAAAGUAAGCACCGGCUAACUCUGUG
rnacentral:rRNA from 1 species